rnacentral:rRNA from 1 species
ACCGCGCACGGGUGCGUAACACGUAUCCAAUCUCGCCCGUCCACGUCGGGGUAUAGUCCCUUUCUAGGAAAGGAAGUAUUAACUACCCGAGUGGCAUGCUACUUUCCGGCAUCGGAGAUGCAUUAAAGAUUUUAUCGGUGACGGAUGAGGAUGCGUACGAUUAGGUAGUAGGCGGGGUAACGGCCCACCUAGCCUUCGAUCAUUAGGGGUUCUGAGAGGAAGGUCCCCCACACUGGAACUGAGACACGGUCCAGACUCCUACGGGAGGCAGCAGUGAGGAAUAUUGGUCAAUGGGCGAGAGCCUGAACCAGCCAAGUAGCGUGAAGGAAGACUGCCCUAUGGGUUGUAAACUUCUUUUGUUCGGGAAUAAAGUGCAGUAUGUAUACUGUUUUGUAUGUACCGUUCGAAUAAGCAUCGGCUAAUUCUGUG